UGUUUCGGCAAGGGGGUCAUCCCGACUUACCAACCCGAUGCAAACUGCGAAUACCGGAGAAUGUUAUCACGGGAGACACACGGCGGGUGCUAACGUCCGUCGUGAAGAGGGAAACAACCCAGACCGCCAGCUAAGGUCCCAAAGUCAUGGUUAAGUGGGAAACGAUGUGGGAAGGCCCAGACAGCCAGGAUGUUGGCUUAGAAGCAGCCAUCAUUUAAAGAAAGCGUAAUAGCUCACUGGUCGAGUCGGCCUGCGCGGAAGAUGUAACGGGGCUAAACCAUGCACCGAAGCUGCGGCAGCGACGCUUAUGCGUUGUUGGGUAGGGGAGCGUUCUGUAAGCCUGUGAAGGUGUGCUGUGAGGCAUGCUGGAGGUAUCAGAAGUGCGAAUGCUGACAUAAGUAACGAUAAAGCGGGUGAAAAGCCCGCUCGCCGGAAGACCAAGGGUUCCUGUCCAACGUUAAUCGGGGCAGGGUGAGUCGACCCCUAAGGCGAGGCCGAAAGGCGUAGUCGAUGGGAAACAGGUUAAUAUUCCUGUACUUGGUGUUACUGCGAAGGGGGGACGGAGAAGGCUAUGUUGACCGGGCGACGGUUGUCCCGGUUUAAGCGUGUAGGCUGGUUUUCCAGGCAAAUCCGGAAAAUCAAGGCUGAGGCGUGAUGACGAGGCACUACGGUGCUGAAGCAACAAAUGCCCUGCUUCCAGGAAAAGCCUCUAAGCAUCAGGUAACAUCAAAUCGUACCCCAAACCGACACAGGUGGUCAGGUAGAGAAUACCAAGGCGCUUGAGAGAACUCGGGUGAAGGAACUAGGCAAAAUGGUGCCGUAACUUCGGGAGAAGGCACGCUGAUAUGUAGGUGAAGCGACUUGCUCGUGGAGCUGAAAUCAGUCGAAGAUACCAGCUGGCUGCAACUGUUUAUUAAAAACACAGCACUGUGCAAACACGAAAGUGGACGUAUACGGUGUGACGCCUGCCCGGUGC
rnacentral:rRNA from 1 species